rnacentral:rRNA from 1 species
AACGAACGCUGGCGGCAGGCUUAACACAUGCAAGUCGAACGCUCGUAGCAAUACGGGAGUGGCGGACGGGUGAGUAACGCGUGGGAACGUGCCCUGAGGUACGGAAUAACUGAGGGAAACUUCAGCUAAUACCGUAUGAGCCCCGAGAGGGGAAGGAUUAUCGCCUUGGGAGCGGCCCGCGUCGGAUUAGCUAGUUGGUGGGGUAACGGGCCUACCAAGGCUUCGAUCCGUAGCUGGUCUGAGAGGACGAUCAGCCACACUGGGACUGAGACACGGCCCAGACUCCUACGGGAGGCAGCAGUGGGGAAUCUUGCGCAAUGGGGGCGAACCCUGACGCAGCCAUGCCGCGUGAACGAUGAAGGCCUUAGGGUUGUAAAGUUCUUUUACCCGUGACGAUGAUGACGGUAACGGGGGAAUAAGCUCCGGCUAACUUCGUG